rnacentral:rRNA from 1 species
CAGUCGCCGCGGGAAAACGUAGGUGGCAAGCGUUAUCCGGAAUUAUUGGGCGUAAAGCGCGCGUAGGCGGUUUUUUAAGUCUGAUGUGAAAGCCCACGGCUCAACCGUGGAGGGUCAUUGGAAACUGGAAAACUUGAGUGCAGAAGAGGAAAGUGGAAUUCCAUGUGUAGCGGUGAAAUGCGCAGAGAUAUGGAGGAACACCAGUGGCGAAGGCGACUUUCUGGUCUGUAACUGACGCUGAUGUGCGAAAGCGUGGGGAUCAAACAGGAUUAGAUACCCCCGUAGUCCCUGUCUCUUAUAC